rnacentral:rRNA from 1 species
UACGAAGGGGGCUAGCGUUGUUCGGAAUUACUGGGCGUAAAGCGUAUGUAGGCGGAUCGUUAAGUCGGGGGUGAAAUCCCGAGGCUCAACCUCGGAACUGCCUUCGAUACUGGCGAUCUUCGAGUCCGGGAGAGGUGAGUGGAACUCCGAGUGUAGAGGUGAAAUUCGUAGAUAUUAGGAAGAACACCAGUGGCGAAGGCGGCUCACUGGCCCGGUACUGACGCUGAUGCGCGAAAGCUAGGGGAGCAAACAGG